CUAGAACUGUAGAUAGGGGAUGACCAAACACCUAUUUCACCUCUGCUAUAGUCCUUAGAAGACAUUUGGGCCUAGAAAAUAAGGACUUGUGGCUUGUCCCAUUGCGCCAGAGGUUGGUUGUCCUGUCCUACCCUAGAGAGUAGCUUCAAACAAGUAUCUUAGCGGUGCGAGAGCUUAUAGUGGAAAAACCUAUCAUUUUCAAAUUAGCAGAGUGGAACCCAUGUUAAACGACUCUUUGGGCCUAUUUUACUGCUUUCCAGAGCUUCACUAUAUAUAUAUGAUAUAUGUUGCAGUCGUCGGUAAUACCUCUGCUCUGGUUGGGAACUUCAUUUCUUGUUCAGCACUAAAGGAAGCUCCACAGUUGAAAGGUGAAGUUCAGCGUCCUAAGGUUAAUGAGCAAGUCCUAUAAGGUUAAUGAGCAAGUCAGAAUGAAGUUGGAUGAGAUGAGAGCCAGAGUCGAGAGAGGCAGACAAUAAGAAUCGAAGUAGAGAGAGGCAGACAAUAAGAAUCGAAUGGGAUGAAUCAAUUUGAUCAAAGCCAUUUCUUUUCUUUUCUUCCAAGUCAGUCCACUACCCUUGCCCCUAACAAGUAAGUAAACCAGCCGACCCGAUUGCUGCAACAGAACUAGAGCAAGUUGACUUUCCUGGCACCUACCGAUUAGUACACCUCCGCAUCAGAAGGAACUCUCUCUCCACGACAACUAAGGUAAAGAAGGAACUUUGCGCCUCAACGCUAGGCCCUGUACUGGAUUCUUCCCUUUCACAACACAGCUAACAACCCAGUACUCUCUUUCGCCCCUACCCUAACUCUCGAGGGCGAGCGAGUGUUGUUGACUUCCUAACACGGCUUAUUCUUCGUUACUAGUUGGGUUGACAGCUUCACCAAUAAGUACUCUCAAUCUGGGUGUUGAGCCCGCUAAUCGAGCUACUUCUUUAUUCUUUGUUUCCGUCUGAUAAGUAAUAGAUAGUGGAAUUCCUGGGCCAAGCAAUGUAUGGCAAAAAAGGGCCAAUUCACUUUCGGGCGAUCGGUCCCAAUUCAUUGAACCCUGCUGGGC
rnacentral:lncRNA from 1 species